AACCGGAUUAGAUACCCUGGUAGUCCAUGCCGUAAACGAUGAGUGCUAAGUGUUGGAGGGUUUCCGCCCUUCAGUGCUGCAGCUAACGCAUUAAGCACUCCGCCUGGGGAGUACGACCGCAAGGUUGAAACUCAAAGGAAUUGACGGGGGCCCGCACAAGCGGUGGAGCAUGUGGUUUAAUUCGAUGCUACGCGAAGAACCUUACCAGGUCUUGACAUCUUCUGCCAACCUAAGAGAUUAGGCGUUCCCUUCGGGGACAGAAUGACAGGUGGUGCAUGGUUGUCGUCAGCUCGUGUCGUGAGAUGUUGGGUUAAGUCCCGCAACGAGCGCAACCCUUAUUGUUAGUUGCCAGCAUUUAGUUGGGCACUCUAGCAAGACUGCCGGUGACAAACCGGAGGAAGGUGGGGAUGACGUCAAAUCAUCAUGCCCCUUAUGACCUGGGCUACACACGUGCUACAAUGGACGGUACAACGAGUCGCGAAACCGCGAGGUCAAGCUAAUCUCUUAAAGCCGUUCUCAGUUCGGAUUGUAGGCUGCAACUCGCCUACAUGAAGUUGGAAUCGCUAGUAAUCGUGGAUCAGCAUGCCACGGUGAAUACGUUCCCGGGGCCUUGUACACACCGCCCGUCACACCAUGAGAGUUUGUAACACCCAAAGCCGGUGAGGUAACCUUCGGGAACCAACCGUCUAANGUGGGACAGAUGAUUAGGGUGAAGUCGUAACAA
rnacentral:rRNA from 1 species